UUUCAACUUAAAUGUUCCAUUUUCUAUAACUUUAUUCUGUGUAUAUGGGUACUGCAGAGAAACAUUGUCCUGAUUGUUACUGAUUAUGAUUUUUCAGGCAUCUAGUUUGGCCAAUGCUCUGGAGGUUAGCAGCUGUUCAACUGCAGUUACAGACUGGUACAACCACAGUGGAAAUCAAUCUAGCAGUUCCUCAGAAAAUUAGAAGCAGCUCUACCUGAAGACGCAGCUAUCCCACUUUAAUGAGGAUAUCAUGAAUUUUGCAGGCAAAUGGCUGGAACUAGAAAAGUAUCAUCCUGUGUGACAUAACUCAGACACAAAAAGAUAAGCAUGACCACUGAUCUGAACAAUUACUCCGGGCACAAUCUGCUACGCGCACCAGCACAGACACUAUGAGGAAAGCAGUUCUACAGCUCCCAUGCCUUGCUCUGCAUCAACACACAUCUAUGAUGAAGAUCCAGGGCAAUAGACUGAGACUUCUGAAACCCUGCAAACAAACAUUUUCUUCUUUUAAGAUAAUCUUCUCAGGCAUUCGCCAUAGCAACAGUCUUCUAACUGUGGUGUUGUAACAGUUUCCUCUGAGAUAGAAACAUCUCAUCUUUCAGGAAACUUUGUAAAUUCAAGGAUGACAACUCAACAAAGCUUCAGUAAGUCCUGGAAACUCACCAGAUUCAAUAGGCUCCUCCUAGAGAGAAUUAGCAAUAAAUCUGAGAGACCUCCUUCAGAUGAAAGGAAGCCAAGCUGCAAAGAAGACUCUUAGACUACAGUACCUUCUGUGAAGAAGCAGGAAUUAGUUGAGCUGUCUAAAAUUUGUUUAAAUCAAAUGAGUACUUGCAAAGGACACUCCAGAAUCUAUUUAUUUGCAUUCAGGUUGAACAGUAUUUUUGGUCCCAAGCUUUGUGUUCUAUACUCAUGUUGACCUGGGCUCUCAUGAUGCAUCUGUCAUUUAUGCUACUGUGAGUAGCUCCUUACCCAUACUCCUGAAUUAGCCCAAAUAAAAUACAUUAGUUCACCG
rnacentral:lncRNA from 1 species